AAGAAUAAACAGACAUGGUGGCAGGUAAGGAAGAAUAAACAGACAUGGAGGCAGGUAAGGAAGAAUAAACAGAUAUGGAGCUAGAGAGGGUAAUGUGAUCAGACAAGAAGCUAGGUAAGAACGAAUGAACAGACAUGGAACUAGGUAAGACAGAAUGAUCAGACAUGGAGCUAGAGAGGGUAAUGUGAUCAGACAAGAAGCUAGGUAAGAAAGAGUGAACAGACAUGGAUACAGGUGAGGAAGAAUAAACAGACAUGGAGCUAGGUAAGACAGAAUGAUCAGACAUGGAACUAGAAAGAGUAAUGUGAUCAGACAAGAAGCUAGGUAAGGAAGAGUGAUCAGACAUGGAUACAGGUAAGGAAGAAUAAACAGACAUGGAGCUAGGUAAGACAGAAUGAUCAGACAUCAGGCUAGGUAAGGAAGAGUGAUCAGACAUGGAACUAGGUAGGACAGAAUGAUCAGAAAUGGAACUAGAGAGGGUAAUGUGAUCAGACAUGGAGCUAGAGAGGGUAAUGUGAUCAGACAUGGAACUAGAGAGGGUAAUGUGAUCCGACAUGGAACUAGAGAGGGUAAUGUGAUCAGACAAGAAGCUAGGUAAGGAAGAGUGAUCAGACAUGGAACUAGAGAGGGUAAUGUGAUCAGACA